AGAUACCCGCGUAGUCCUAGCCGUAAACGAUACUCGCUAGGUGUCGGCCACGGUGCGACCGUUGUCGGUGCCGUAGGGAAGCCGUGAAGCGAGCCACCUGGGAAGUACGGCCGCAAGGCUGAAACUUAAAGGAAUUGGCGGGGGAGCACAACAACGGGUGGAGCUUGCGGUUUAAUUGGAUUCAACGCCGGAAAUCUUACCGGGACCGACAGCAACAUGAAGGUCAAGCUGAAGACUUUGCCGGAUUAGCUG
rnacentral:rRNA from 1 species